AGACCCGAAACCCGGUGAUCUAGCCAUGGGCAGGUUGAAGGUUGGGUAACACUAACUGGAGGACCGAACCGACUAAUGUUGAAAAAUUAGCGGAUGACCUGUGGCUGGGGGUGAAAGGCCAAUCAAACCGGGAGAUAGCUGGUUCUCCCCGAAAGCUAUUUAGGUAGCGCCUCGUGAAUUCAUCUCCGGGGGUAGAGCACUGUUUCGGCUAGGGGGCCAUCCCGGCUUACCAACCCGAUGCAAACUGCGAAUACCGGAGAAUGUUAUCACGGGAGACACACGGCGGGUGCUAACGUCCGUCGUGAAGAGGGAAACAACCCAGACCGCCAGCUAAGGUCCCAAAGUCAUGGUUAAGUGGGAAACGAUGUGGGAAGGCCCAGACAGCCAGGAUGUUGGCUUAGAAGCAGCCAUCAUUUAAAGAAAGCGUAAUAGCUCACUGGUCGAGUCGGCCUGCGCGGAAGAUGUAACGGGGCUAAACCAUGCACCGAAGCUGCGGCAGCGAACGUAUCACCCAAGACAACUUUACGGAGUUGACGAUUGACGGAGCGAAGCGACGUCAAAGCGUUCAUUAAAGUCGAGUUGGCUUAGGGAUACGUUCGUUGGGUAGGGGAGCGUUCUGUAAGCCUGUGAAGGUGUGUCGUGAGGCAUGCUGGAGGUAUCAGAAGUGCGAAUGCUGACAUAAGUAACGAUAAAGCGGGUGAAAAGCCCGCUCGCCGGAAGACCAAGGGUUCCUGUCCAACGUUAAUCGGGGCAGGGUGAGUCGACCCCUAAGGCGAGGCCGAAAGGCGUAGUCGAUGGGAAACGGGUUAAUAUUCCCGUACUUGGUGUUACUGCGAAGGGGGGACGGAGAAGGCUAUGUUGGCCGGGCGACGGUUGUCCCGGUUUAAGGGUGUAGGUGUGUGUUCCAGGUAAAUCCGGUUCACUUUAACACUG
rnacentral:rRNA from 1 species